AGAACGAACGCUGGCGGCAUGCCUAAUACAUGCAAGUCGAACGAACACUUCGGUGUUAGUGGCGCACGGGUGCGUAACGCGUGGGAAUCUGCCCUUGGGUUCGGAAUAACAGUUGGAAACGACUGCUAAUACCGGAUGAUAUCGAAAGAUCAAAGAUUUAUCGCCCAGGGAUGAGCCCGCGUAGGAUUAGCUAGUUGGUGAGGUAAAGGCUCACCAAGGCGACGAUCCUUAGCUGGUCUGAGAGGAUGACCAGCCACAUUGGGACUGAGACACGGCCCAAACUCCGUACGGGAGGCAGCAGGUGGGGAAUCGUUGCGACAAGUGGGGACGAAAG
rnacentral:rRNA from 1 species